rnacentral:rRNA from 1 species
GAUGAACGCUAGCUACAGGCUUUACACAUGCAAGUCGAGGGGAAACGAUAUUGGAAGCUUGCUUCCGAUAGGCGUCGACCGGCGCACGGGUGAGUAACGCGUAUCCAACCUGCCCACCACUUGGGGAUAACCUUGCGAAAGUAAGACUAAUACCCAAUGAUAUCUCUAGAAGACAUCUGAAAGAGAUUAAAGAUUUAUCGGUGAUGGAUGGGGAUGCGUCUGAUUAGCUUGUUGGCGGGGUAACGGCCAACCAAGGCGACGAUCAGUAGGGGUUCUGAGAGGAAGGUCCCCCCCAUUGGAACUGAGACACGGCCCAAACUCCUACGGGAGGCAGCAGUGAGGAAUAUUGGUCAAUGGACGAGAGUCUGAACCAGCCAAGUAGCGUGCAGGAUGACGGCCCUAUGGGUUGUAAACUGCUUUUAUAAGGGAAUAAAGUGAGCCUCGUGAGGCUUUUUGCAUGUACCUUAUGAAUAAGGACCGGCUAAUUCCGUGCCAGCAGCCGCCGUAA